UUAUCUAUUUAUCUAGCUCAACUCUGCCCAAAUACAGGAAAUUUCUGAAAGUGUGGACUGGAAAACCUAAAGCAACAGCAUCUCAGGAUAUCUUCCAUACUUCACAUCUGAAGGGAGCUUGAGUUGUAUGGGAUGCAGGGAUAGUGUGCUCUUGAAACUGUCACUGCUUCUGUUCAGUUGUAAACCAGCAUUUCAGGUUGUUGCAGAUCUUCCAAAUGACUGCGAUGAGGUGUUCAGUCGACGACAGAUAUCCUGUGGCCUAUAUGCCAUUAAACCUCAAGAGUCACAACCGUUUCUUGUAAAUUCACUGAGAAGGGAGUGUUCACUGUCAUCCAGCGCAGACAUGACGGCUCUGUGGACUUCGGCCUGUCCUUGGAGAAGAAUGAGGAUGGAUUUGGGGACUUCAGUGGUGGGUGGUGGUUUAGCAUUUGCGGCGACUUUAACCUGAACAGCAAAUGUAAUCAGAGCAGACCUCGUAAAAAGGGAACCCACUGGAAACCUGGCAGGGGAGCCACCAGCUUCAAGGCCUCAAAAAUCUCCAUUAGUCAUCUCACAAAGCCACAUACCCCUUAAUAUCAACAGCAUGUGUAGAAGCACAGUAUGACUGCAUCCAUGCUGAACAAUUGCAUCUUGGUUUAAUGGACAUGAUCAAGUUCCCAACUUUGUUGAGUAUGAACAUAUCAAUAUGAUGCAGUAAAAAAAGUUAAAAUGGUACAAUUACUGUGAUUAGGCUAGUGAUCUCCACAUGAUUCAGUCAUUUUAAUUACAUUGUAACAGAAAACCUCUCAUUUACCCUUCUGAGAGCCACUUUCAGCCAUGUGUUUCAGCCUUUGAGAUGUCUUAAGCACAAAUGUACAGCAUUUGCCAUUUUUGCACUUCUUCCCAAAAAAAUAUUUUCUUUUCAUUAUUUUAGUAACAUUAAAUUCUAGGAAUUUUCAGUGGAACCUACACAGUGAGAGAGAGAGAGAGAGAGCAAUAUUGUUCAUAGCUGAUGUAGUGCCGCCCUCUGCUGAGCAUUGCCAAUAUUUGCAGUCAUUUUCUAUGAAAGCAGUAAAACUGUACAUAUGUACAGUUAUGUACACACAAAACUGUGCCAUUUGGGCAACAGAAAUCUUCAGAUUUUUAUUACAUUUUUAAACAUGUAUUUUUUUUAUUUUUGCUUUAAAUUAUUUACAAAAUUAUAAAUUCUUAUGUUUUUAUAACUAUUAGGGAAACCAUAUUUUCCUGAAGCUUCAUGUACCAAGGCUUCAACAGUCAUAUACAUACACCGUGGGGAUGUGCAUAUGCCAAGAAGUUGUUGUUGUUUUCUCCUUGUCUUUUUUCUGUACAUUGAUCUUUAUGAUUGUUUCCCAUAAAAU